rnacentral:rRNA from 1 species
GAAACACGGACCAAGGAGUUCAACAUGCGCGCAAGUUGUUGGGUUAUCCGAAACCCGCAAGCAAAGUGAAAGCAAGUCACGGCUCUGCCGUGUAUUUGGCGAGAUCCCGACCCUCGGCGGUGUAAAAGCCGUGGAGACGGGCGCACCGCCGGCACAUCACAAGCUCACGUGGCUGUGGUGUAGCUUGAGCGUGCACGUUGAGACCCGAAAGAUGGUGAACUAUGCCUGGACAGGGC